CUGGCUCACGAUGAACGCUAGCUACAGGCUUAACACAUGCAAGUCGAGGGGCAGCAUGGUCUUAGCUUGCUAAGGCCGAUGGCGACCGGCGCACGGGUGAGUAACACGUAUCCAACCUGCCGUCUACUCUUGGACAGCCUUCUGAAAGGAAGAUUAAUACAAGAUGGCAUCAUGAGUCCGCAUGUUCACAUGAUUAAAGGUAUUCCGGUAGACGAUGGGGAUGCGUUCCAUUAGAUAGUAGGCGGGGUAACGGCCCACCUAGUCUUCGAUGGAUAGGGGUUCUGAGAGGAAGGUCCCCCACAUUGGAACUGAGACACGGUCCAAACUCCUACGGGAGGCAGCAGUGAGGAAUAUUGGUCAAUGGGCGAGAGCCUGAACCAGCCAAGUAGCGUGAAGGAUGACUGCCCUAUGGGUUGUAAACUUCUUUUAUAAAGGAAUAAAGUCGGGUAUGCAUACCCGUUUGCAUGUACUUUAUGAAUAAGGAUCGGCUAACUCCGUGCCAGCAGCCGCGGUAAUACGGAGGAUCCGAGCGUUAUCCGGAUUUAUUGGGUUUAAAGGGAGCGUAGAUGGAUGUUUAAGUCAGUUGUGAAAGUUUGCGGCUCAACCGUAAAAUUGCAGUUGAUACUGGAUAUCUUGAGUGCAGUUGAGGCAGGCGGAAUUCGUGGUGUAGCGGUGAAAUGCUUAGAUAUCACGAAGAACUCCGAUUGCGAAGGCAGCCUGCUAAGCUGCAACUGACAUUGAGGCUCGAAAGUGUGGGUAUCAAACAGGAAUAGAUACCCUGGUAGUCCACACGGUAAACGAUGAAUACUCGCUGUUGGCGAUAUACAGCAAGCGGCCAAGCGAAAGCGUUAAGUAUUCCACCUGGGGAGUACGCCGGCAACGGUGAAACUCAAAGGAAUUGACGGGGGCCCGCACAAGCGGAGGAACAUGUGGUUUAAUUCGAUGAUACGCGAGGAACCUUACCCGGGCUUAAAUUGCAGAUGAAUUACGGUGAAAGCCGUAAGCCGCAAGGCAUCUGUGAAGGUGCUGCAUGGUUGUCGUCAGCUCGUGCCGUGAGGUGUCGGCUUAAGUGCCAUAACGAGCGCAACCCUUGUUGUCAGUUACUAACAGGUUCCGCUGAGGACUCUGACAAGACUGCCAUCGUAAGAUGUGAGGAAGGUGGGGAUGACGUCAAAUCAGCACGGCCCUUACGUCCGGGGCUACACACGUGUUACAAUGGGGGGUACAGAGGGCCGCUACCACGCGAGUGGAUGCCAAUCCCCAAAACCUCUCUCAGUUCGGACUGGAGUCUGCAACCCGACUCCACGAAGCUGGAUUCGCUAGUAAUCGCGCAUCAGCCACGGCGCGGUGAAUACGUUCCCGGGCCUUGCACACACCGCCC
rnacentral:rRNA from 1 species